rnacentral:lncRNA from 1 species
UUAAAGCCGGUACCUGCAUUGCUACAUUAAGGAAAAUAGAAAGUAAUUGAAGCUACUUUAGACAGUAUAGUUCCAAUUUUGUAAAUAACACACAGAACAAGAACUGGGGGUAAAUACGUCAGAAUAUUAAUAUCGAGUAUCUGUUUGUAGGGAAACAGCUGGCAACUUUUGAGACCGAGUUAGCAUGAGAGACUUUAUGUCUAAACCACCCCCCACCCUCUGCUUAUUCUCGCCGUGCGCUUUGGAGAAACGCUUAGACCUGCACGUAGGCAAGCUAAUGAGUAACCAGUCAGCAACCAGUAGAGAGAAUGACUUGUUAGCAGAAGAUUUCAGGCCUCUGCCCAAACUCUUGCUUCUCUCCCUCAGAAGAAAACAACUAUGUUUUCUUAGAUUCCUCAGGAAUGUCACAUUCAGCAGAUCCAAAACUUUUGUCUACAGAGAGGCGCCCGGCGGUCUGCGGUCAUCCAAUACCUGGCACUCCUGAGUUCCCUCCCCGACCCCGUUGGCCUUAUAUAACUCAUUUCCAAAUCAGUUCCCCUCGCAGAUGGUUUUUUAGCAUAGUCCACCAUCUUUCAGUUAGCUAGCUCAUUGCUUAAGUGAAAUUUUCUCUCUCCACCGCCUUGCCUCUUGACAGAUUGGCUUUUGUCUUGCGGAGAGCAGGUCAAGCCCUUGCUUGGCAUCACUUUUAUUUUCUCAUUUAGAUUUUUCCGCAGGUUAUAAUCCUGCAACGUUAUUGCUGGCACCUUCACAAAUCGCUGUGAUGGAGGGUUAUGGUUGGGGAGCAGGCCGAGCCCUCCCAUUGUCCAUCUGCUCCCCUAACCUCUACCCCAGAUGUUCAUAUUUUCUGCUCCCAUCCCCACACGCCACAUUCCCACCUUCUGGGUCUACUCCCCAGGGAGCUGGUUUCAGCAGAAAAAAGAGCAAAUCUCAGCAGCCCCUUCCAAAUUGUGGGAGUGCCUGGGAGGGAAUUAAGCCUUGUCAAAACUUCCAAAAUUCAAACCAGGAAGAACCUGGCUGAGGAAACCUGGGUGGAUGGGAAUUCAGUUGUGCAGUUUCUCCUGGGUAGGAGGAGGUCUUGGAGUGGCAUCUGUCGGCCUUGAUGAUGGGAGAAGGCUGGAAGAUGUCCGGUGGCACCAGCAGCUGCAGAAGCUCCUCCUACAGAGAUGAACGUGUCAACGACAACCAGUGCAGGGGCUUUUUCAAGUGUUGCGAGGUCCUGUGUAGGAGGAAAUGUGUUUAUCCCACAGCAGACAGAUUGAUGCCAGUGUGAUGAAGCUGAGGAUUCCUGGUGUCCAGGGAGUCCACUUCCCACACAAGCCUGAGGUAUCCGCAGUCCCCGCUGAAGCCUUGGUGCUGCCACGGAUGCUUCCUCUGUGCCCGGUCCUUUGUGUAUUCCUGGCACCCAGAAAAGGGCUGGGCACGGAAAAUGUGUUUUGACCAGAGAACAAAUAAAAGCACACGCUUCUGUCGGCAUACCUGGCGUCUGUGAUUCACAGAGUCUCGCCUGGUGGCUGGGAGUGGGUGGGGAGCGUGGAGACUCUCCCACAGCAUGAAUCCUCACACUCAUGGACAUGGUUUUUGUCUAAGCUAUAGAUCUAGAAUUCAAAUUGCUUCUAGGUUUUUCCUUCAGGCAAGGCUAAGUUGUUCUUGUAGAAAAAACCGAGGAACUCUGCCAAAUAGAUGGACCAAGUUACCCUCUUACCUGCAGUGUAUAUGGGUCUCUGUUUCCCUGUAACUUAAUCAAUAAUGUGUUUCUGACUUUAAAAUCCUUCUCAAGCCGGU